rnacentral:rRNA from 1 species
UACGGAGGGAGCUAGCGUUGUUCGGAAUUACUGGGCGUAAAGCGCGCGUAGGCGGCUUUGUAAGUUAGAGGUGAAAGCCCGGGGCUCAACUCCGGAACUGCCCUUAAGACUGCAUCGCUUGAAUCCGGGAGAGGUGAGUGGAAUUCCGAGUGUAGAGGUGAAAUUCGUAGAUAUUCGGAAGAACACCAGUGGCGAAGGCGGCUCACUGGACCGGUAUUGACGCUGAGGUGCGAAAGCGUGGGGAGCAAACAGG